CUUUUCGGACUCAGCCCACUUGCACCCAAGUGAAUAAACAGUGUUAUUGCCCACACAAAGCCUGUCUGUUGGUCUCUUCACAUAGAUGUGCUUGACAUUUGGUGCCAUGACUCAGAUCGGGGGACCUCCCUUGGGAGAUCAAUCCCCUGUCCUCCUGCUACAUUUGGUGCCGUGACUUGGAUCAGGGGACCUCCCUCGGGAGAUCAAUCCCCUGUCUUCCUGCUCUUUGCUCUGUGAGAAAAUCCACCUAUGACGUCAGGUUCUCAGACCAGCCCAAGAAACACCUCACCAAUUUUAAAUUGGAGAUAGCAGAAACGUGUUUUUUCCAUGGAUCCAAAAUGCUGGUGGCACUGGUCAUGGACUCAGGAAGACAGUCUUCCCUUGGUGUCUAAUCACCGCGGGGACACCUGCCUGAUUAUUCACCCGCAUUCCAGAGGUGUUCGAUCACCAUGGGGACACCUGCCUUGAUCCUCCACCUUGGUGGGACCCACUGGAAAUCAGACUGCCCAGAUCACCCGGCAACCACUCCCAGAACCCCUAAAGCUCUGGCCCAAGGAUCUCUGACUGACUCCUUCCCAGAUCUGCUUGGCUUAGUGACUGAAGACUGACACUGCCCAAUUGCCUUGGAAAACCCCUGGACCGUCACAGAUGCUGAGCUUCGGGUAACUCUCACAGUGGAGGGUAAGUCCAUCCCCUUUUUAAUAGAUACAGGGGCUACCCACUCCACAUUACCUUCUUUUCAAGGCCUGUUUCCAUUGCCCCCAUAACUGUUGUGGAUAUUGAUGACCAGGCCUCAAAACCUCUUAUAACUCCCCAACUUUGGUGCCAACUUGGACAAAAUUCUUUUAUGCACUCCUUUUUAGUUAUCCCCAUGUGCCCAGUUUCCAUUUAGGUUGAGACAUUUUAACCAAAUUAUCUGCUUCCCUGACUAUUCCUGGACUACAGCCACAUCUCAUUACUGCCCUUCUUCCUAAUCCAAAGUCUCCUUCAUGUCUUCCUCUUGUAUCCCCCAUCUUAACCCACAGGUACGGGACAGCUCUACUCCCUCCCUGACAACUGAUCACACGCCCAUUACUAUCCCAUUAUAACCUAAUCAUGCUUACCCUGCUCAAUGCCAAUAUCCCAUCCCACAGCAGGCUUUAAACGAACUGAUGCCUGUUAUCACUCACCUGCUACAACAUGGCUUUUAAAGCCUAUACAUUCUCCUUACAACUCUCCUAUCCUACCCAUCCAGAAACUGGACAAGUCCUACAGGCUAAUUCAAGACCUUCACCUCAUAAAUCAGAUAGUCCUUCCCAUCCAUCCUGUUGUGCAUUUUUAUUAAGUCUCUUCUUCCUUACUCUACUCUUUACAACUGCUUUAUGCAGUCAACCCCUCCUUCUUGCACUGCACCUCACAAACUUUUUCAUCCCUGCUAUUUUCCUAUUCACCAUUCUCACCUACUCAUAAAUGCCCUGCUUUUGUUUACAUUGCCAGUUUACACUUUUUCUCCAAACCAUCACAGCUUAUAUCUCCUGGUGCUAUCCCCAAACCACCACUCUUGACUCCCUCUUGUAAUGGAUAGGUGAUUUUUGCUGGCAGGGCACACUCCAAUACUUUCACCAUGAUGAAGUCCUAUUCUUUACCUUUAUACUUACUUUUAACCUCAUUCCCGUUCUUAUGCUGCCCUCUGCCCUUGAAUAUUCUUUAAGGUGUCUGUGCAGUCCCUGGUCACACUUGAAGCAGUCCCAAGAAACAUCGCCCCUACCCCAAUAACCCUCAGUAAAAAGUUAUAUUUUCUUUAUCUUUUCUUAUAGCUUUAUAUUUUAUAAAUAAAAAGACAGGAAUGUCAGGCCUCUGAGCUGAAACUCAGCCAUUAUAACUUCUGUGACCUGCACAUACACAUCCAGGUGGCCUGCAGGAGCCAAGAAGUCUGGAGCAGCCAAAAAAUCACAAAGAUGUAAAACAACCAGUUCCUGCCUUAACUGAUUAACCAAAAUUACAACAUUUUACCAUUGUGACUUGUCCCUGCCCUACCUUAGCUGAUCAAUCAACUUUGCAACAUUCUUCUUUUGGACAAUGAGUCUUAUGAUCUCCCCACCAUGUACCUUGUGACCCCCCCUCUGCUAACAAUAGAUAACCACCUUUUACUGUAAUUUUCCAUUACCUACCCAACUCCUAUAAAGCAAACCCUUCCCCAUCUCCCUUCACUGACUCUCUUUUCAGACUGAGCCCACUUGCACCCAAGUGAAUAAACAGUCUUAUUGCUCACACAAAGCCUGUUUGUUGGUCUCUUCACAUGGACGCGCUUGACAUAGGUUGCUGGGUACAUAGCACUGAGCAACCGGUACUUUAGUUAAAUGUCAGAGUCAGGGUUAAGAUCAAUAAAAGUUACAAUACAGUAACACUUGCCUAGACACAGUGGGAAAUCUUGUUUAUGAUGAUUUCCAGAUGAGAA
rnacentral:lncRNA from 10 species